rnacentral:rRNA from 1 species
UAAUACAUAAGUAACCUGCCCUAGACAGGGGGAUAACUAUUGGAAACGAUAGCUAAGACCGCAUAGGUGCGGACACUGCAUGGUGACCGUAUUAAAAGUGCCUCAAAGCACUGGUAGAGGAUGGACUUAUGGCGCAUUAGCUGGUUGGCGGGGUAACGGCCCACCAAGGCGACGAUGCGUAGCCGACCUGAGAGGGUGACCGGCCACACUGGGACUGAGACACGGCCCAG